GACGAACGCUGGCGGCGUGCUUAACACAUGCAAGUCGAACGGAAAGGCCCUGCUUUUGUUGGGUGCUCGAGUGGCGAACGGGUGAGUAACACGUGAGUAACCUGCCCUUGACUUUGGGAUAACUUCAGGAAACUGGGGCUAAUACCGGAUAGGAGCUCCUGCUGCACGGUGGUGGUUGGAAAGUUUCGGCGGUUGGGGAUGGACUAGCGGCUCAUCAGCUUGUUGGUGGGGUAGUGGCUUACCAAGGCUUUGACGGGUAGCCGGCCUGAGAGGGUGACCGGCCACAUUGGGACUGAGAUACGGCCCAGACGCCUACGGGAGGCAGCAGUGGGGAGUAUUACACAAUGGGCGGAAGCCUGAUGCAGCAACGCCGCGUGCGGGAUGACGGCCUUCGGGUUGUAAACCGCUUUCGCCUGAGACGAAGCGCGAGUGACGGUAAUGGGUAAAGAAGCACCGGCUAACUACGUG
rnacentral:rRNA from 1 species